UACCGUACGAUCACCGAAAUUAAGCAACGUCGAACGUGGUCAGUACCUCGAUGGGUGACUGCUUGGGAAUACCAGGUGCUGUAAG